UACGGGGGGGGCAAGCGUUUGUUCGGAAUUACUGGGCGUAAAGGGCUCGUAGGCGGCCAACUAAGUCAGACGUGAAAUCCCCAGGCUCAACCUGGGAACUGCGUCUGAUACUGGAUGGCUUGAAUCCGGGAGAGGGAUGCAGAAUUCCAGGUGUAGCGGUGAAAUGCGUAGAUAUCUGGAGGAAUACCGGUGGCGAAGGCGGCAUCCUGGACCGGCAUUGACGCUGAGGAGCGAAAGCCAGGGGAGCAACGGGG
rnacentral:rRNA from 1 species